rnacentral:rRNA from 1 species
GAUGAACGCUAGCUAUAGGCUUAACACAUGCAAGUCGAGGGACCGGCGCACGGGUGAGUAACGCGUAUCCAACCUGCCCAUAACUAAGGGAUAACCCAGCGAAAGUUGGACUAUUACCUUAUGGUUAUGGAUGGGGAUGCGUCUGAUUAGCUUGUUGGCGGGGUAACGGCCCACCCAGGCAACGAUCAGUAGGGGUUCUGCGAGGAAGGUCCCCCACAUUGGAACUGAGACACAGUCCAAACUACUACGAGAGGCAACAGUGAGGAAGAUUGGGCAAUGGACGCAAGUCUGAACCAGCCAAGUAGCGUGCAGGAUGACGGCCUAUGGGUUGUAAAAUGCUUUUAGAUGGGGAUAGGUACCAUAUGAAUAAGGACCGGCUAAUUCCGUGCCAGCAGCCGCGGUAAUUC